rnacentral:rRNA from 1 species
UACAGAGGUCUCAAGCGUUGUUCGGAUUCAUUGGGCGUAAAGGGUGUGUAGGUGGCGCGCUAAGUCGGGUGUGAAAUUUCGGAGCUUAACUCCGAAACUGCAUUCGAUACUGGCGUGCUUGAGGACUGGAGAGGAGACUGGAAUUCAUGGUGUAGCAGUGAAAUGCGUAGAGAUCAUGAGGAAGACCAGUGGCGAAGGCGGGUCUCUGGACAGUUCCUGACACUGAGACACGAAGGCCAGGGAGGCAAACGGGG